UUCGUUUUUGCGGAUAUAACCUGAGCUAGAAUUGCAUGUUAUAUAGGGGGUAUACCCCAAAAACGACCCAAAAAGUCGACCUAGUGAAAUGGUGCGUUAGGGCCUCAGGACACCUUGUCUGGCCUGUAGCACCCGUAUUUCACGGUAUUUCGUGCAUAUUGGCUUGUUAGAGCCCAUAUUUUGGAGCAUAGGACUGUGUUGGGGUCGACGGUCAGGAAGGCCUAAAAACCUAUACUGAUGCGGUCGGCUCAUACCUAUGCCUCGCUUAUAUGGCUCGGCCUCUCGGGAGCUGGUUGUUCGAUCGUAAUGGCCAUGCAAUGGUCUGGUUGGGCUUCUGGUUUACCGUUUCAUUGGGUGUCGGGUGGCAUUCGUCAUUCUGCACUCGAGUCGUAUGCCUGUAAUUGCUUGAGGGCUGGUUUCGGCUGGUCAUCGGGUGGUUAUAUGGUGGUAUGGCUUUCCAUAUGCUAAGCCGACUGGCUUGUUCUGAUAGCUGGGCGGGUCAUUCGUGGCUCGUCUAUGCUGUGCUUAUACGAUAACCGUUAUAUAUAUAUGGCGCGAGUCCGUACUCCACUGCGUCAAUAUUGCUGCUCCAUGCGGGAAGGUGUAGACCGCGUGGUUGCGCAAAUCAUAUCAAGAGGUGUCAGACUAUAUUAGUUCGCAUGGUAUGGGUACUGCCGUGUGGACAAAGGUUGCCAAAUGUUUCGCUUCCACAAUUAGUGGUUGCGCGCGCUCUCAAUCCCUCGGGGUUGGGUUGCUUGAGAGAGUGAAUA
rnacentral:misc_RNA from 1 species